GUGCUCGCUUCGGUAGCACAUAUACUAAAAUUGGAACGAUACAGAGAAAUUAGCAUGGCCCCUGCACAAAGAUGAUGUGCAGAUUCGUGAAGUGUUCCAUAUUUUU
rnacentral:snRNA from 1 species